GGCGUAGCUCAGUUUGGCUAGAGCGUCUGAUUUGGGAUCAGAAGGUCGAGAGUUCAAGUCUCUCCAC
rnacentral:tRNA from 1 species